UGUCCCUGUGGGAGGAAAAGGAGAGGCGCCUCCUCAGUCUCCCCAAUGACGAUGACGGUGAGCGCCGGGCUCUCAAACGCCAAGUGCAAAGGAAGGCCAAAUGCAAAGGAAGGCCACGUGUCGCGAGUGUCUGCACCUGAGAGCCAGGGCAGGCAGGCCGGGCCGCAGCAAAGAGGGCCACCGGGCACCUACAGCCAGGACGCAGGCGUGCCAACUUUCUGGUUUUAAGGGACAACUGUAGGCAGUCAGUCUCGCUCCCUCACUAAAUUUGUAAGUCUAGUACAAACCCUGAACUGUGGCUAUCAGAAGAGAGAGGCAGGAACCGGCUCCAGAAUGACUCCGGCCAACAACCAAAUAAAUCGUCAGCUUCCAGGAGUGCGAGCUGCGCGCCGCCCUCCCAUUCGAUACUUGUGCCAGAUUUAUGAAGAAGACUCACAACCACUGGUCUCCUCCGGCCCGAGAGGGAGUAACUUCUGACCUUUUUCUUCUGCAGGUAAGAAGGCUGAGAGUCAGAGAGUCAAGACCAAAUGGCCGGCGCACACCGCUGGUGUCGCACCAGAGGUAUCCUGUAAACUCACGCUCUCCGGAAACCACAAAACCGACAAUGAUGCAGGUUUUCCUAAAUGUUUAAAUGCAUAUGUAUAAAAAGGCAAUGAGGAAGGAGAUACACUGAGUUAUUAAUAAUAAUACAUGCUGAGUGAUAGCAUUAUGGGUAAUUAUUGUUUAUAGUUUCUAUUUUUUGAUGUUUUAUAUUAAGCAAGCAUAACUUUUAAAUUUUGAGAAUAGGUGUUAAUUGUAAAACACCAACCCAAGAUUUGACAGCUUGUGAGUAACAAUGAAAGUGUGAUGGCCGGAGUCACCCUGGUUAGCACGGUCUGGUCUCGAACCCCCGAGGGCACCCCGCCCCCACUGAUGAGAGACCGAUGCCAUUGGCUGCAAGUAAUGAAGAGCAAGGCAAGAGAACAAAGACCUCACUUUGGUGCCUGUUCCACCUGUGAUGCGUUCUGUAGCCUCGAACCUGUGUUAUUCGCUUCCUGCCUGCACAUGCGGACAUCUACAAAUGUACAGUUUAUCAAUCAUUUUGAUGCCCAUAUGCUUACAGGGAACUAAUACUUACAGAGCAUUUGUAUAGGUCCUGAAAGGUGGUUUUAUGCUUUCUGUGUUUACCUUAGAGUCAAAUAACCCUAUGACAUACUGGCAUUAUGACUUCUUUUAGAGCUGAACAAAGAGAGACUCAAGAGGAGUCAAGGCCAAGGGCUGGUACGUGACAGCACAGGGACCGGCUACGAGGUUCUCUGGGGAAAACUGUCCAGUACAGGAGUGCUUGUUAAAGGCUUAUUUAAGAAGGGAAGAAAUGCAGACGAGGAAAAGUCCGCUGUGUCCGCCUGGCCGCCACCUUGUCGUCGGAGCUACAUGUGCACAGAAGGCGGACAUGGUCUCCCUGCCUGCAGUCCCAAGGGCCUCUCUAGUUACACAGCCCCGGAAAAUACCGCAACCCUGACCACAGAAACAUCAACUCUUUCACACCGCCAAGCUCUCUUGGUAACGAACAGACAUGUCACCAAUCUGAGGCGAACCCAGGGUAAAAGAGACCAGGCGAGGGGUUGGGAGAGUCUCUCAGAAGAAGACAAACUUAUUAGAAGAUA